rnacentral:rRNA from 1 species
GCCUGGCCCUAAAUCUCGAUGCUCUAUACAACCAAAGCAUCCGCCUGAGAACUACGAGCACAAACGCUUAAAACUCUAAGGACUUGGCGGUGCCCCAAACCCACCUAGAGGAGCCUGUUCUAUAAUCGAUAACCCACGAUACACCCGACCACUUCUUGCCAAAACAGCCUACAUACCGCCGUCGCCAGCUCACCUUUUCUGAGAGUACCACAGUGAGCACAAUCGCCCCAACCACGCUAACAAGACAGGUCAAGGUAUAGCCUAUGAAGUGGGAGAAAUGGGCUACAUUUUCUAGCUUAGAAAACCUCACGAAAAGGGGUAUGAAACAGCCCCUAGAAGGCGGAUUUAGCAGUAAAGCAGGAUAAUACAAGCCUCCUUUAAGCCGGCUCUGAGGCAC